UAGCUAGUUGGUGGGGUAAGGGCCUACCAAGGCGACGAUCGGUAGCUGGUCUGAGAGGAUGGCCAGCCACACUGGAACUGAGACACGGUCCAGACUCCUACGGGAGGCAGCAGUGGGGAAUAUUGGACAAUGGGGGCAACCCUGAUCCAGCAAUGCCGCGUGUGUGAAGAAGGCCUGAGGGUUGUAAAGCACUUUCAGUGGGGAGGAGGUUUUGUAGGUUAAGAGCUAGCAAGAUGGACGUUACCCACAGAAGAAGCACCGGCUAACUCCGUGCCAGCAGCCGCGGUAAUACGGAGGGUGCGAGCGUUAAUCGGAAUUACUGGGCGUAAAGGGUGCGUAGGUGGUAGAUUAAGUUAUGCGUAAAAUCCCUGGGCUUAACCUGGGCAGGUCAUAUAAAACUGGUUUACUCGAGUAUGGGAGAGGGUAGUGGAAUUUCCGGUGUAGCGGUGAAAUGCGUAGAGAUCGGAAGGAACACCAGUGGCGAAGGCGGCUACCUGGCCCAAUACUGACACUGAGGCACGAAAGCGUGGGGAGCAAACAGGAUUAGAUACCCUGGUAGUCCACGCUGUAAACGAUGUCAACUAGCUGUUGGCUAUAUGAAUAUAAUUAGUGGCGC
rnacentral:rRNA from 1 species